rnacentral:lncRNA from 1 species
AAGCUCUCCGUCACCUCGACCGUCGCAGCAGGAUGCUGGACAAGUAAGCCCCGCCCACUUCCGGUUUUGACCACGCCCACCGCCGAAUAGGCCACGCCCCCAUACUUAGACCCCAGCCCUGCUCUCAUAAAAGCCCACCAUUGAAGUUUUAUGGGAGGAGCCGAGGGAUGCAGACCACACCCCCAGCUUUAAGACACGCCCCCUUGCUUAAGGCCACGCCCCCCUUUCCUAAAGCCCCGCCCCCACAAUAGGCUCCACCCACCCGUCAAUCUCCACCAUUGAAGGCCAAUGGAAAAUUGAAGGGGAGGGACCAGGCACAUGUGGCCACGCCCACAAUUUUAGGCCACGCCCCCCGUUUCCCACAACCCCCUGCUCGUCCUAUAGGCUCCGCCCCUUCGGCAAGCCACGCCCCUUCUGAUAGGCUCAGCUCCCACCAAUGAUGUUACAUGGGAAACAAUAAGCCACGCCCCCUCCUUGAGCCACGCCUCCUUAUCCAGGCCACGCCCACCUCUGAUAGGCCACGCCCCUUCUCGAAAGCCACACCCCCUCUGAUAGGCCACGCCCGUUCUGAUAAGCUCAGCUCCCACCAAUGAUGCCCUAUGGGAACCAAUAAGCCACGCCCCCUAUUUAAGCCACGCCCACCAGUUUAGCCACGCCCGCUUGUUUCAGGCACGCCCCCUCUGAUAGGCUGAGCUCCCACCAAUGAUGCCCUAUGGGAGCCAAUAAGCCACGCCCCCUACUUAAGCCCCGCCUCCUUAUUCGGGCCACGCCGAUCUCUGAUAGGCCACGCCCCUUCUCUAAGCCACGCCCCCUCUGAUAGCCAUAUCCCUCUGAUAGGCUCAGCGCCCACCAAUGAUGCCCUAUGGACGCCAAUAAGCUCCGCCCCCUACUUAAACCACGCCCCCUUACUCAGGCCACGCCCAUCGCUCUAAACCACGCCCCCUUUCAGAAGACCACGCCCACUUCCCCCCUAAGCCCCGCCCCCUCCCGCAGGCUCAGCGAAUCCCUGACGCGGGACGGCGCUCAGAUCCGCGCCCACAUCCGCCUGGUGCUGGAGGGUCUGCGGGAGCUGCAGGGCUUCCAGGAUCCCCCGGGUGAACUCUGACCUUGGGGUGACCUUUGACCUUGGGGUGGCCUUUGACCUUGGGGUGACCUCUGACCCUUUGGGGGAAGGGGGAACCGGAAGUUGCUCUUUUACAAGCGGGAUUAAAGUGGGAAUAAAUCUGGAGUAAUGUGGACGUACA